UAUUUAAUGCUGUCUCGUGUACAUUGCUUUGCUAUAGUGAGGGGGAAAACCCUUUAGAUUGAGACUCAGUUUACUAAUAAAUGGUUAGUAGAGGAUGAAACUAGAGUGUGAAAAUAUGAACGAGUUAGUGGAGCUGAUGAAUUAAAAUCAUAAGUUGCUACAUUGGCAUUUUCUACCUCCUUUUCUGUCAGAGUAUUACUUUUCCAGCUUUUAUUCUUUUUUGUGACUAAGGAAGAGAUGAGAACCCAAGGUUCAAUUUGGAAUUUUUAUGUUGUUGAGGAUUUAAGCAGUAGGUACAGGAAGGGUGACUUGCCACAUCAAUUUUGCGUGUAAAUCCAUAACUACAGGUUAUGACUGACAUCUACAAAAUGUGUAAGAAAGGUAAUAUUGCUGAAUAUUUUUGCUUUUCCUGUACAGUCUACAUGACUUUGUUUCAUAAACGUGACUUCUUUCCUCCAAAAUGCAAAAUGGUCAUGUAAUUUUCUAUAAAAUAAACAGGCCAUUUUGUCUGAAAUCUAUAAUUUCAGGAAGCUAUUGGAAGUUCUGACUCAGGGCUUUGUAACAGUUUAAGCAAUUGUUAAUUAUAUUUUGGAAAAUCCAUCUACAUAAUUCUUCAGUGCCUUGAAAGAAUUAUUAACUUGGCAACACUACUAAAACUUUUUAGAAGACUGUCUUUAGUGUGGGUGCAUCAUCACACACACGUUUAUAAGAUGUAUUGCUUAGCUUGUGUUAAUAGCAAUACUGCAUGUGUGCUGGGUUUGGGUAAUUCUUUAAAGGAAGUUUUCUAGAUUUGCACUUGAUAUUUGUUUUUUUUUUAAACUGAUAUUUAUGGCCAUGACACUGUUACCAGAAAAGUAAUUCUAUAAGUCAUUAUGCAAAGUCAUGUAUAGGUAGCAUCUGGGAAGAAGAGCUAGGGUUCAUACAGUUUGCUAUUUUAAUAUGAAAGGAGAGUCUGUUUGGUAAACACAGAUUGUCUUCCCCUCAUGAACAAAAGAUCUUUUAUUAAGUGAUUUGGUUUAAAAAUAUUUUUUUUAAGGAAAUCAUGGAUUGCAUGUUCUUCUUAAUGCUAGUCUUACUUAGCCUGAAUCCACAAAAUUGUUCUGUUAAUUUCAGUAUGCUUGUCAUCCUAAAUACAGUAUAUUCAGUGUGAUAGAAAGCAGUUUAAAUGACACAUAGGAAUGUUUUGCUUUGUAUUUUUUCCAGUGUUUUUUAGCUCCCACUUGAUUAAAGUCUUGCUCGUGAAUAUAGUUUCUGUAUGGCAAAUGAUUCUUGCUUAUUUAGCUUUUGUUAAAAAACACUUAGCAAGAGCUAAGCUUUUAAAAAUAAGUGCAAACAUUUACCAUUAAUAAAACUUACACUGUAAUAUUAUAUAGUGCUUUUCUCUGAUCUUUUGAAAGUAUUCAUAUGAAUUUUGAUUUUUAAGGUAUUGAAAACAUAUCUCAGUAUAUCAAACCUAUUAUUGGAAAGGAAAUUACCAUGUGUUUGAAAAACAAGGACAUACAUCUUCAACUCAACAUAAGACAUAGGUGCCCACAUCUAGAAGGCUGUCAUUACAGUUGUUUACAUUUAAGGUACCUCUAUCUAAAGGGCCAAAGAACCUUUUCAUAUUUUAACACAGUCUUUCAGGAUAUUGUGAAAGUAGUCUCCAUAGGAUAAAUUUGAUAGAAAAUCAGUCAACCAGUUAGGAAGACUCAAUUUUUCUAUAUAAAGUUUAUUCCUCUUCAUAAUUCAGAUGUAGAUUUCAUUUUCAAAAGAUAAACAUUUUAAAGCAAUGAUUUCUUUGGCUUUUUUAGUGUUUUGUGACUAAAUCAGUAAUUGAAUGGUUUGGAGUUAUUUUUUUCAAGUUAAU
rnacentral:lncRNA from 1 species